UAGGGCAAAUCAUUUCAGCCUCCCCAAUCGCCUCCAUCUCCAUACGCGUUCUCAACUCUGAACUUACCCUCUCUCUCUCUCUCUGCAACAGCAAACUACAAAAUCUACAAGAAUCAGAAGUUCGAAACCCAUAUAUUUCAGUUUAUCUAUCUGUCUGCAUUUGCAAGAAUCAAAAGUUCAAAACCCGUAUCGGCAUAUCAUUUCAGAUUGUUCAAAAAAUCAAAACCCAUAUCUUUCAGUUUCCAUCGCCCGCUGUUCCAGAUCGGGUUCGCCGUUCGCAAGCUUCAGCCGCUGUCUCGCAGCUCUCAAGCUUGCCCCCCCCUCUCUCUCUCUCUCUGCAACUGCUAACUUGAAGAGUAGGUUCUGGUGCAAGAAAACUACUGUCACAGAUCUUGGUUGGAUUUUGUUCCAGUUCGGGUUUGCCGUUCGCAUGCUUCAGCCGCUGUCUCUCAACUCUCAAGCUUGCCCCCUCUCUCUCUCUCUGCAACUGCUAACUUGGUUAGCAUCAGGCCUUAACAUUUAGCAAGAAUAAGGUUCAAGAAACAUGCCUCCUCAGUCAUCAGGUCUCUUUUCUGAAAGAAGAGAGUUGAUGGGAAUGAGUGGAUUUGGAAAAAGAUAAUAGGUAUGUUUUUUUUGCCUAACUAAUUGAAUUAUUUAAAUCCCCUUACCAAAAUAAUGAUCUUGAAGCACAUAUUGAUGAUAUUCUUGUGCCACAAAAUGCGAAACUCCAUGAAGAGAUUGUCCCUCGUCAACAUACUGAGGGAUGUCUCCGGGCAAACAUUGAGGUUCUGAAGCAAAUUCCAUGGAAUUUCAAUUCCAUCCGGAAUAUGAAAAGUGUAGGUAACCUAGGUAAAACUUGAAACGCCUUAUUGUCUAUUUUUGAAGGAAAAACAGUAUUAUGUUUAAAUUGGUAGAUACAAACAGUUUGAAUCUCUUUUAGCUUCCUGUUAUUUUCAGGUUCAAGUGUUGGGAUGGUGCACAUAUGAUAUUAUUAAAACGCCUUAAUUGUCUAUUUUUUUAAGAAAAAUCAAAAUUGAAAAGAUGAGAAUGCAAUCUAGAGAUAUAAUAUGGAUUGUAGAUGCUUGUUAUUUUUUGUUUCAUCUGUGCAGGAUCAUGCUCGCUCAAAAUCACACACACAUACUGACUAGAAUCCUCUCUAGUAGAAGUUGCUUCCAAAAUAUUUUAAUACAAACCAUUUGCUCUGUAAUUAUUCUGUGUGUUUAUUUAUGAUAAUAGCAUGUUAAAAAUUUCCUAAAAUGUUAGGUGAGAGUUUAAGAGUCCAAAGGAGCAAAUGAGUACCCUCCUUUAAAAUUAUUUAGAUACCCAUGUUGUGUCAGUACCGAUGCUUUAAGGGGAAUAUGAGAAUCUUGGUAACACAAUUGGUUACAUUUGAUCCUCUGUUUGUAAUAUCCCAAUCUUCUAAACAGUAAUGACUUUCAAAUUUAGCUUAUGAAUGCCAUUUAAAACAUUGUUCUUAAGUAGAAUUGGCAGUUCCUUACCUGUUACCGGCAGCUUAUGUGUUCAUAAUAGGAUCCAUAGUUUUGCUCGGGAAUUUAUAAUGACUUUCAAAUUUAGCUUAUGAAUGCCAUUUAAAACAUUGUUCUUAAGUAGAAUUGGCAGUUCCUUACCUGUUACCGGCAGCUUAUGUGUUCAUAAUAGGAUCCAUAGUUUUGCUCGGGAAUUUAUAAUUAGUUGUUUUUGGGUCUUCCCGAACCCAACUCUGGUCAAAGGUUGGGGCUGGGCAAGGAUGCAGAAUUAAAGACUAUUCAAUAUGAUUAGUAUCUAAAAUUAUUUCUAAUCUACUUAAUAUUUUUAAUAUUAUUUUUUGUUGUUUCAGUAAUUUAAUUUUUUACUGGCUGUUUAGGUUUAAACUGGUUUUGGUUAUGUUAACAAAAUAUAUUGAUAAGAGUUUUUUAAAGGUAAUGUUAAAAUGCCUCGUUAAUUUAAGAUCAAGUUUGUGAUGACCCAACAUGAAUUGGACUUGAGUUGAACUUGCUCGAACAUCACAUAUUGCUCAGAUUCCUGCUUAAAAAAUAAUCUUUUUAUUGUUUAAUGUUACACAAUAUAUUCUUAAUUAGUGAUUUCAUGCGCACAUUCAAAGAGGGAAAAUGGAAGUUCUGAUACAAGGUUACGUUGUGCAUUAGUGGGUGAAUAUAUGCUUAUGUGUUUAUUCAUAGUUCUUUUUUAAUGUAGAUUUCUUAGUUUUGUUGUAUUAUAUCACUUGAAAGUAAUGGUCAUGUGAUAUUUUUAUUUUAUUUAUUUAUUUAUAUAUAUAUAUUUUGUUGGGGGUGUUACGUGAAAAAUACCUACUACCUACUGUGUUGAAUGAUGCCUUGUAACCAGACAAGGCAAAGAAUGUUGGUCCAGAUUGUGUGAUGUUGAAUGAAGUGUUGUAAACUAAGUUAAAGGUUUUUGGUUUAUAUAUAUUGGAGAUAAGAAUAUUAUUGUUUAAUUAUUUACAUGUGUGUUUUAAAGUGUGUGUAUAUAUAAACUUAUUAUGUUCAUGUUUUUUGUGAUUAUUCUUGCCGAUAUGGAAUAUGUUUUUCAUAGGUGUGUUUCGUGUGUGCACGACAAAACGUGCACUAAUAUGUGCGUUUUGUUCCUAAAGAUUGGAUCAUGGAAAGGUAUGGAUCAAUCAAUAUAUUUUUCUUUCAUUUUUUAUUUUUAUUUUUUUAUAUUCAUCGCAUGACUAUUCUUCCUUUUCUAUAAUAUCUCAUUUUUCUCUGUUUCUCAGCAUCUUCUUCCCUAGUUGCAGGAAUGAGGAGAUUUUUUCGUGUGUGCACAACAGAACAAUGUGCGCUAAUCUGUACGUAAUGAGGAGAUAUUUUCUUCCGGAUUUGAACCCUCAAGACUUUCAUGAGGUAAAGAAAGUUUACGGCGAAGCACACUUUAAGACAAUGGUGACUUCGGCCCCCGAUGUUCAGUCCAGGGAUACGUUUGCUCAUUGUAUAAUUCUCCAAGCUAGAAUUAUAACUGCAAUACCAUAUUGGGGAACAUAGCCCCUAUAAGGAUCCGAAUUGAAUGUAAUCAUGUUCUUUUACAAGAAGUUCUUCCUCUUGAUCAACAAAUUGAUGAACUGCAUCAACAGAUACAGGGACUCGAAGCAAACAAAGAUCAUCUCCAAGUACUAAAUCAUAAUUUGGUAGCACACAACGCAAAUCUUCAAUCCCAAAGAGCACAUUUUGAGACACUGGUGAUUUCGGCCCCCGAUGUUCAGUACAGGGAUACGUUUAAAGCUAGAAUUAUAACUGUAAUACCAUAUUAGGGGAACAUAGCCCCUGUAAGGAUCCGGAAUGAAUUGAUCAACAAAUUGAUGAACUGCAUCAGCAAAUAAGAGGGACUCGAAGCAGACAACGAUCUUCAAGGACUAAAUCAUAAUUUGGUAGCACACAAUGCAAAACUCCAAGCCAAAGAACGUCUCUGGGAAAGCAUCCAGGCGCUGAAGGAAGGGAAACUAGGAUCAUGCUCGCUCAAUCACACACAUACCGACUAGAAUCCUCUCUAGUAGAAGUUGCUUGCAAAAUAUUUCAGUGCAAACCAUUUGCUCUGUUAGUGUUCUUUGUGUUUUAUUUAUGAUAAUAACAUAUUAAAAAUUUCCUAAAAUGGUUGGUGAGGAGCAAAUGAGUACACUCCCUCCAUUAUAAGUUUCCAAACAUGGUGACCUUUUUAGUUCCUGCAUCAGUUGCUCGAUAUUGAUCACCAAAGGCACGCCUGCCUUCCAAUGCAUAUAGGCUUUG